CCUACGGGAGGCAGCAGUAGGGAAUAUUGCUCAAUGGGGGAAACCCUGAAGCAGCAACGCCGCGUGGAGGAUGAAGGUUUUCGGAUUGUAAACUCCUUUUGUUAGAGAAGAUAAUGACGGUAUCUAACGAAUAAGCACCGGCUAACUCCGUGCCAGCAGCCGCGGUAAUACGUAGGGUGCGAGCGUUACUCGGAAUCACUGGGCGUAAAGAGCGCGGAGGCGGGAUAGAAAGUCAGAUGUGAAAUCCUAGGGCUUAACCCUAGAACUGCAUUUGAAACUGUUAUUCUAGAGGAUGGGAGAGGUAGGUGGAAUUUUUGGGGUAGGGGUAAAAUCCGUAGAGAUUAAGAAGAACACUCAUUGCGAAGGCGAGCUGCUAGAACAUAACUGACGCUGAUGCGCGAAAGCGUGGGGAGCAAACAGGAUUAGAUACCCCAGUAGUC
rnacentral:rRNA from 1 species